rnacentral:tRNA from 1 species
GCUCUCGUAGCUCAAUUAGUAGAGCGUGCGCGUACAAAGCGUGGGCGGCGUCCAUGCGUGGGUUCGAAUCCCACAGAGGUUA